UAUCCUCAACGACGGUGAAAUCACCGAUUGUGAUCUCGACAUCCCGAUAAAGUACCUUGUAGGCAAUUGGAUUCGCUGCUGGUUGGACUGUUAUCGCGAUUGGCAGCGUGUAUUUGCCCAUUGUGAAGUUGUCUUGUUGAAAACUUCCUGCUCACUUCUCUCAACUCCAGAUGAUAAUUCAAUCGAUGUUGCAGUGAAUCCGCGUGUCUUUCAGCGACAUCAUCAUCAUGUGGACCACAAAUCUCGCAAAUCUAAUCAACACAAACAAAACAAAACAUAAAUUUAAAACAUAAUUUCAAAUCGAAGCAAAUUGUGCGUUACCAAUGUCCGCAUUUUGUAACCAAGUCUAUAUCACGAAUGUUGCAUCUGUAACACUAGAAAACAAUAUGAAGCACUAAACACGCGAUAUUUGAACCAUGGAAAAUAUUUUGCAAGCGCAGCAAUGCGAUACACAACAAUAACCUUAAAACGGUGCGCGGAAUGAUUCAGAGGGGAUUUACUGAGUUAUAUCGCGGGAAUUAAGGCUGAGAUGGCAAAAAACCCGAUAACAGAGUGCAUUUAUAUGAAAUGCAGUAAUUAAACGUA